rnacentral:tRNA from 1 species
AAAGGGAGACCUAAUUCGGGUAUAAGACGAAAAAAAAGUAGUCCCUACCAAGAAUCAAUCCCAAAAGGUCGGAACGAGGUAUGAGGCUUUCAAACUAGGUUCUGGGUUCAUAAAAGACCUGAAUCGGGAACAAGGGCUAUUAGCUCAGGUGGUUAGAGCGCACCCCUGAUAAGGGUGAGGUCCCUGGUUCGAGUCCAGGAUGGCCCACCUGCACAGGUGGCAAAAACAAGAGAAGCGAGGAAUCAGCACCUUAUCUUGUAUACAUAUAUAAGAGAGAAUGCUGGCUCUGAGUACAGAGUCCAGAGGAACCUUGAAAACUGCAUAGAGCUAGGUGAAAAAGCCAAAAAAGAAGACCGCAAG